UAAGACGUAGGGGGCGAGCGUUGUCCGGAUUUAUUGGGCGUAAAGGGCUCGUAGGCGGUUUGGCAAGUCGGAUGUGAAAACUCCAGGCUUAACCUGGAGAUGCCAUUCGAUACUGCUAUGACUUGAGUUCGGUAGGGGCGCAUGGAAUAUCCGGUGUAGCGGUGAAAUGCUUAGAUAUCGGGUGGAACACCAGUGGCGAAGGCGGUGCGCUGGGCCGAAACUGACGCUGAUGAGCGAAAGCGUGGGUAGCAAACAGGAUUAGAUACCCUGGUAGUCCACGCCGUAAACGUUGGGCACUAGGUGUGGGACCCUAUCGACGGGUUCCGUGCCGUAGCUAACGCAUUAAGUGCCCCGCCUGGGGAGUACGGCCGCAAGGCUA
rnacentral:rRNA from 1 species